CCCAAAGAUUAUGUGGGAUUUAGUUUUAAAAACAUCAAAAGUGACAACACCUUAUCCUUUUCUUGGUCUGAUCGAUAACCUAAAUAAGGUUUAUAAUUAUCAUUCACACUACUACUCUGAGUACUCUCUCACGUUAAUUUUAUAACACCAACAAUAAAUAAAAAAAAAAUAAAAAAUGAAGAAGCAUAGUUUAUAUAUGUAACCAACACGUAUUUACUUUUUCAAAACAAUUUGUUUUGGUCUAAUGUGUUAAUAUCAUUUCCG
rnacentral:lncRNA from 1 species